AUGCAACAAGUCAUGAAAGAGUUGGAGGAGAAGCUUGCUGACAGUGAAUCAUCCAAGGAAAAAUAUGACAAUUUAUCCCAGGAACACCAAGAUCAGAUAAGGCAGCUGAGUGAGGAGGUGAUACAGGUCCAGGCAGAACUAAAACGGCAACAGCAUCUGAACUCAGAACAGCAGUCAUGUGCCCAACAAGAUGAUCAACAUCAGCUACAAAUACAGGAACUACGAGCUGCAUUGGAGACCAUGACAGAGGAAAGGAGCCAGUUGAACAGUGACUUGAAGCAAAAUAUGGAAAUGGUGAGGCCAUGUCUGUGUUUUUGUUCAUCCAACCACUGCACUUUGAUGGUGUAGCUAACUGUAAACAAAAACAUGGAAGUGCCAGUUAUAUUAAUGUGAUAUUACUCUCUCCUCUAUAGACUGCAGAGACUCAGGGACUUCUCCAUUCCAUCCAAGAGGAGCUCGGACAACAGAAACAAGUGAACUCUGAACUUGAGAGCCAAAGUUUACUGAAGGAGUCUCUUCUAGAACAGCAGGUUAGUUUAUUUGACUUUCAUUUUAGUAGUAUGUUUCCUCAGUUGUUUUGUAAUAAAACAAUUAGAUCUUACCUUUCUUUCUCCUCAAAGAUGAGGCAGCUGAGUGAUGCACUUGAGUCUGGGCAAGCUGAGAGAGAGCGUCUCCUGUUUGAGAAUACAGACAGCUCUCAGAAUCAUGCAGAGGAGUUGGAGAAGCUGCGCUCUACUGUGACCUCACUGACUGACGAGAGAGACCAGUUCCAGGAGAUACUGGAGGGAAUCCGGGAGGAGAGGAACCAGCUCAAGAGAGACCUGGAGGAGAAUGUGGACAUGGUGGGUGAUUGAUCGAUUUAAAUACACUAUUUUGAAAAUGCACACACUAAUUGCAAUUGGAAGCUUUUUGUAUUACAAGUUUACGUUUUAUAUUUUUGCAGAUGAUUGAAAAUCAGGAGGAACUACGGGUGGCACUUGAAAAGAUAUACCAUCAAGAGGAAAAUAUGAAACCUACGGAGACUGCAAAUCUAGAGGAGCUGCAAAGUCAGGUAAAAAUGUGCUUUUACUUGCACAACAGAAUUCAUUGUCACAUCAAUCGAAGUGUAGAUUCUAAAAUGAAUGCUAACCUACUCUUCAGAUGAAGCAGCUGAAUGAGGAGCUUGAGUCUGUGCGAACUGAGAGAGAGCAUCUCCUGUUUGAGAAGACCAAUAGCCUUCCGAAUCAUGCAGAGGAGUUGGAGAAGCUGCUCUCUACUGUGACCUCACUGACUGGAGAGAGAGACCAGCUCCAGGAGAUACUGGAGGGAGUCAGAGAGGAUAGGAACCAGCUCAAGAGAGACCUGGAGGACAAUGUAGAGAUGGUGAGUCUGAGUUACUUUUAUAUCUAUUGAAAUCCAUAUUUUCUGCCUUUAUCCUAUUUUGUGUAUCCAUGUGAUUUGACAGAAUACAUGUAUUUGUCCGACAGCAACAUCUGAACUCAGCACACCAGCCCCAUAGAGAACAUCAGGAGACUGACCUACGUUUGCAGGUAAGUCAUUGUUUAUACACUGAGUGCACAAAACAUUAAGAACACCUCUCUUUAUGACAUGGACUAACCAGGUGAAAGCUAUGACCCCUUAUUGAUGUCACUUGUUAAGUCCACUUCAAUCUGUGUAGAUAAAGAGGAGGAGACUGGUUAAAGAAGGAUUUUUAAGCCUUGAAACAAAGAUUGUGUAUGUGUGCCAUUGAGGGUGAAUGGCAUGACAAAUUAUUUAAGAACUACAACGCUGCAGGUUUUUUCAAGCACAGUUUUCCGUGUCAAGAAUGGUCCAACACCUAAAGGACAUCCAGCCAACUUGACACAUCUGUGGGAAACAUUGGAGUCAACAUGGGCCAGCAUCCCUAUGGAAUGCUUUUGAUACUUUGUAGAGUCCAUGCCCCAACGAAUUGAGGCUGUUCUGAGGGCCCAAAGCGCAGUGGGUGAUUAACUCAAUAUUAGGAAGAUGUUCUUAAUGUUUUGUACACUGUAUAUUCAGGUGAUGCCGAACACCAUGGUUCAACUGUAUUUGUUUAUUAAUUAUUG
rnacentral:lncRNA from 1 species